GACGAACGCUGGCGGCGUGCUUAACACAUGCAAGUCGAACGGAAAGGCCCUUCGGGGUGCUCGAGUGGCGAACGGGUGAGUAACACGGGGGUGAUCUGCCCUGCACUUUGGGAUAAGCCUGGGAAACUGGGUCUAAUACCGAAUAGGACCACGCGCUUCAUGGUGUGUGGUGGAAAGCUUUUGCGGUGUGGGAUGGGCCCGCGGCCUAUGAGCUUGUUGGUGGGGUAAUGGCCUACCAAGGCGACGACGGGUAGCCGGCCUGGGAGGGUGACCGGCCACCAUGGGCCUGAGAUACGGCCCAGACUCCUACGGGAGGCAGCAGUGGGGAAUAUUGCACAAUGGGCGCAAGCCUGAUGCAGCGACGCCGCGUGAGGGAUGACGGCCUUCGGGUUGUAAACCUCUUUCAAUAGGGACGAAGCGCAAGUGACGGUACCUAUAGAAGAAGCACCGGCCAACUACGUG
rnacentral:rRNA from 1 species